rnacentral:rRNA from 1 species
GCAAGUCGAGCGGAAACGACAACAUUGAAUCUUCGGAGGUUUUGCUGGGCGUCGAGCGGCGGACGGGUGAGUAAUGCCUAGGAAAUUGCCUUGAUGUGGGGGAUAACCAUUGGAAACGAUGGCUAAUACCGCAUAACGCCUACGGGCCAAAGGGGGGGAUCUUCGGACCUCUCGCGUCAAGAUAAGCCUAAGUGAGAUUAGCUAGUUGGUAAGGUAAUGGCUCACCAAGGCGACGAUCUCUAGCUGGUUUGAGAGGAUGAUC